rnacentral:rRNA from 1 species
GAUGAACGCUGGCGGCGUGCCUAAUACAUGCAAGUCGAGCGAACAGACGAGGAGCUUGCUCCUCUGACGUUAGCGGCGGACGGGUGAGUAACACGUGGAUAACCUACCUAUAAGACUGGGAUAACUUCGGGAAACCGGAGCUAAUACCGGAUAAUAUAUUGCACCGCAUGGUUCAAUAGUGAAAGACGGUUUUGCUGUCACUUAUAGAUGGAUCCGCGCCGCAUUAGCUAGUUGGUAAGGUAACGGCUUACCAAGGCGACGAUGCGUAGCCGACCUGAGAGGGUGAUCGGCCACACUGGAACUGAGACACGGUCCAGACGCCUAAGGGAGGCAGCAGUAGGGAAUCUGCCGCAAUGGGCGAAAGCUUGACGGAGCAACGCCGCGUGAGUGAUGAAGGUCUUCGGAUCGUAAAACUCUGUUAUUAGGGAAGAACAAAUGUGUAAGUAACUAUGCACGUCUUGACGGUACCUAAUCAGAAAGCCACGGCUAACUACGUG